UGGGGAAUUUUGGACAAUGGGCGAAAGCCUGAUCCAGCAAUGCCGCGUGUGUGAAGAAGGCCUUCGGGUUGUAAAGCACUUUUGUCCGGAAAGAAAUCCUUGGCUCUAAUACAGUCGGGGGAUGACGGUACCGGAAGAAUAAGCACCGGCUAACUACGUGCCAGCAGCCGCGGUAAUACGUAGGGUGCAAGCGUUAAUCGGAAUUACUGGGCGUAAAGCGUGCGCAGGCGGUUUGCUAAGACCGAUGUGAAAUCCCCGGGCUCAACCUGGGAACUGCAUUGGUGACUGGCAGGCUAGAGUAUGGCAGAGGGGGGUAGAAUUCCACGUGUAGCAGUGAAAUGCGUAGAGAUGUGGAGGAAUACCGAUGGCGAAGGCAGCCCCCUGGGCCAAUACUGACGCUCAUGCACGAAAAGCGUGGGGGAGCAAACAGGAUUAGAUACCCUGGUAGUCCACGCCCUAAAACGAUGUCAACUAGUUGUUGGGGAUUCAUUUCCUUAGUAACGUAGCUAACGCGUGAAGUUGACCGCCUGGGGAGUACGGUCGCAAGAUUAAAACUCAAAUGAAUUGACGGGGUCAUAGCUGUUUCCU
rnacentral:rRNA from 1 species